AGUGAACGCUGGCGGCGUGCCUAAUACAUGCAAGUCGAACGAAGUGGCGCACGGGUGAGUAAUAUAUAGUUAAUCAGCCCUACACAGAGGAACAACAGUUGGAAACGACUGCUAAUACCCCCAAGUGUAGGAUGAGACUAUAUCGUAUCAGCUAGUUGGUAAGGUAAUGGCGUACCAAGGCUAUGACGCGUAAUCGGUCUGAGAGGAUGAUCAGUCUCAUGGGAACUGAGACACGGUCCGAACUCAUUCGGGAGUCAGCAGUAAGGAGUAGUGCGCAAGGGGUGGGUCCCUGACGCGGCAACGCCGCGUGGAGGAUUACACUUUUCGGGGCGUAAACUCCUUUUAACAGGAAAGCGGUACCUGAUGAAGAAGCACCGGCUAACUCCGUGCCAGCAGCCGCGGUAAUAC
rnacentral:rRNA from 1 species